UAUCCGUAGGUGAACCUGCGGAAGGAUCAUUAUUGUAUAACCGAGGUGCGAGGGAUGUCGCUGACCUGAAAGGUCGUGCACGGCCGAGUGCGCUCAGACACAUCCAUCUCACCCCUAUCUGCUCCACGCCGCGGGCACCCCUUCGGCUUGUUAGGUAGGGGGCGUACGUUUUCUCUCAGUAUAUGAACGCAGUGAAGCAAGUAUUAUUUGUUUUUGAGAUCACUCAAUCAUUACAACUUAACACAACGGAUCUCUUGGCUCCCGCAUCGAAGAAGAACG
rnacentral:misc_RNA from 1 species